AUGGGGGCAACCCUGAUCCAGCAAUGCCGCGUGUGUGAAGAAGGUUUUCGGAUUGUAAAGCACUUUCGGCGGGGACGAUGAUGACGGUACCCGCAGAAGAAGCCCCGGCUAACUUCGUGCCAGCAGCCGCGGUAAUACGAAGGGGGCUAGCGUUGCUCGGAAUGACUGGGCGUAAAGGGCGUGUAGGCGGUUUGCACAGUUAGAUGUGAAAUCCCCGGGCUUAACCUGGGAGCUGCAUUUGAUACGUGCAGACUAGAGUGUGAGAGAGGGUUGUGGAAUUCCCAGUGUAGAGGUGAAAUUCGUAGAUAUUGGGAAGAACACCGGUGGCGAAGGCGGCAACCUGGCUCAUGACUGACGCUGAGGCGCGAAAGCGUGGGGAGCAAACAGGAUUAGAUACCCUGGUAGUCCACGCUGUAAACGAUGUGUGCUGGAUGUUGGGUAACUUAGUUACUCAGUGUCGUAGCUAACGCGAUAAGCACACCGCCUGGGGAGUACGGCCGCAAGGUUGAAAC
rnacentral:rRNA from 1 species